rnacentral:rRNA from 1 species
UACGUAGGGUGCAAGCGUUGUCCGGAAUCAUUGGGCGUAAAGCGCGCGUAGGUGGCUUCAUAAGUCCGUUGUGAAAGUCAAAGGCUCAACCUUUGAACGCCGAUGGAUACUGUGAGGCUAGAGUCCGGAAGAGGCGAGUGGAAUUCCUGGUGUAGCGGUGGAAUGCGCAGAUAUCAGGAGGAACACCAAUAGCGAAGGCAGCUCGCUGGGACGGUACUGACACUGAGGCGCGAAAGCGUGGGGAGCAAACCGG